CACGGUCCAGACUCCUACGGGAGGCAGCAGUGGGGAAUAUUGCACAAUGGGCGCAAGCCUGAUGCAGCCAUGCCGCGUGUGUGAAGAAGGCCUUCGGGUUGUAAAGCACUUUCAGUCGUGAGGAAGGUGGUGUAAUUAAUAGCUGCAUUAUUUGACGUUAGCGACAGAAGAAGCACCGGCUAACUCCGUGCCAGCAGCCGCGGUAAUACGGAGGGUGCGAGCGUUAAUCGGAAUUACUGGGCGUAAAGCGCAUGCAGGUGGUUUGUUAAGUCAGAUGUGAAAGCCCGGGGCUCAACCUCUGAAUUGCAUUUGAAACUGGCAGACUAGAGUACUGUAGAGGGGGGUAGAAUUUCAGGUGUAGCGGUGAAAUGCGUAGAGAUCUGAAGGAAUACCGGUGGCGAAGGCGGCCCCCUGGACAGAUACUGACACUCAGAUGCGAAAGCGUGGGGAGCAAACAGGAUUAGAUACCCUGGUAGUCCACGCCGUAAACGAUGUCUACUUGGAGGUUGUGGCCUUGAGCCGUGGCUUUCGGAGCUAACGCGUUAAGUAGACCGCCUGGGGAGUACGGUCGCAAGAUUAAAACUCAAAUGAAUUGACGGGGGCCCGCACAAGCGGUGGAGCAUGUGGUUUAAUUCGAUGCAACGCGAAGAACCUUACCUACUCUUGACAUCCAGAGAACUUUCCAGAGAUGGAUUGGUGCCUUCGGGAACUCUGAGACAGGUGCUGCAUGGCUGUCGUCAGCUCGUGUUGUGAAAUGUUGGGUUAAGUCCCGCAACGAGCGCAACCCUUAUCCUUGUUUGCCAGCGAGUAAUGUCGGGAACUCCAGGGAGACUGCCGGUGAUAAACCGGAGGAAGGUGGGGACGACGUCAAGUCAUCAUGGCCCUUACGAGUAGGGCUACACACGUGCUACAAUGGCGCAUACAGAGGGCAGCCAACUUGCGAAAGUGAGCGAAUCCCAAAAAGUGCGUCGUAGUCCGGAUUGGAGUCUGCAACUCGACUCCAUGAAGUCGGAAUCGCUAGUAAUCGUGGAUCAGAAUGCCACGGUGAAUACGUUCCCGGGCCUUGUACACACCGCCCGUCACACCAUGGGAGUGGGCUGCAAAAGAAGUAGGUAGUUUAACCUUCGGGG
rnacentral:rRNA from 1 species